rnacentral:rRNA from 1 species
ACGGCUCAGUAACACGUGGACAACCUACCCUCAGAUCUGGGAUAAACCUGGGAAACUGGGUAUAAUACCGGAUAGGUCUUGGAUGCUGGAAUGCACCGAGGCCCAAAGCUCCGGCGUCUGAGGAUGGGUCUGCGGCCUAUCAGGGUAGUAGUGGGUGUAAAGUACCUACUAGCCUACGACGGGUACGGGUCGUGAGAGCGAGAGCCCGGAGAUGGAUUCUGAGACACGAAUCCAGGCCCUACGGGGUGCAGCAGGCGCGAAAACUUUACAAUGCCGGCAACGGCGAUAAGGGGACCUCGAGUGCCAGGAUACAAUCCUGGCUGUCGUAAUGCCUAAAAAGCAUUAUAUAGCAAGGGCCGGGCAAGACCGGUGCCAGCCGCCGCGGUAACACCGGCGGCUCGAGUGGUAACCGCUAUUAUUGGGUCUAAAGGGUCUGUAGCCGGCCUGGUAAGUCUUUUGGGAAAUCCGGCAGCUCAACUGUCGGGCUAUCAGAGGAUACUGCUAGGCUCGAGACCGGGAGAGGUGAGAGGUACUUCAUGGGUAGGGGUGAAAUCUUGUAAUCCUUGAAGGACCACCAGUGGCGAAGGCGUCUCACCAGAACGGAUCUGACGGCAAGGGACGAAAGCUAGGGGCACGAACCGGAUUAGAUACCCGGGUAGUCCUAGCCGUAAACGAUACUCGCUAGGUGUCGGCCACRGUGSGACCGUGGUCGGUGCCGUAGGGAAGCCGUGAAGCGAGCCACCUGGGAAGUACGGCCGCAAGGCUGAAACUUAAAGGAAUUGGCGGGGGAGCAC